CAGUAGCCGCGGUAAUACGAAGGGGGCUAGCGUUGCUCGGAAUGACUGGGCGUAAAUGGCGCGUAGGCGGAUUGUUUAGUUAGGCGUGAAAUUCCUGGGCUUAACCUGGGGACUGCGCUUAAUACAGGCAGUCUAGAGUGAGGAAGAGGGUUGUGGAAUUCCCAGUGUAGAGGUGAAAUUCGUAGAUAUUGGGAAGAACACCGGUGGCGAAGGCGGCAACCUGGUCCUUGACUGACGCUGAGGCGCGAAAGCGUGGGGAGCAAACAGGAUUAGAUACCCGUGUAGUCCCUGUCUCUUAUAU
rnacentral:rRNA from 1 species